CCUACGGGAGGCUGCAGUGAGGAAUAUUGGUCAAUGGACGAGAGUCUGAACCAGCCAAGUAGCGUGAAGGAUGACUGCCCUAUGGGUUGUAAACUUCUUUUAUAUGGGAAUAAAAUGUUCCACGUGUGGGAUUUUGUAUGUACCUUAUGAAUAAGGAUCGGCUAACUCCGUGCCAGCAGCCGCGGUAAUACGGAGGAUCCGAGCGUUAUCCGGAUUUAUUGGGUUUAAAGGGAGCGUAGGUGGAUUGUUAAGUCAGUUGUGAAAGUUUGCGGCUCAACCGUAAAAUUGCAGUUGAAACGGGCAGUCUUGAGUACAGGAGAGGUGGGCGGAAUUCGUGGUGUAGCGGUGAAAUGCUUAGAUAUCACGAAGAACUCCGAUUGCGAAGGCAGUUCACUGGACUGCAACUGACACUGAGGCACGAAAGUGUGGGUAUCAAACAGGAUUAGAUACCCGAGUAGUC
rnacentral:rRNA from 1 species